rnacentral:rRNA from 1 species
UACGGAGGGGGCGAGCGUUAUUCGGAAUUAUUGGGCGUAAAGGGCGCGUAGGCGGCUUCGUAAGUCAAAGGUGAAAUCCCUCGGCUCAACUGAGGAACUGCCUUUGAAACUGCGAGGCUUGAGGCCGGGAGGGGGUAGCGGAAUUCCCAGUGUAGCGGUGAAAUGCGUAGAUAUUGGGAGGAACACCAGUGGCGAAGGCGGCUACCUGGACCGGUUCUGACGCUGAGGCGCGAAAGCGUGGGUAGCAAACAGG